rnacentral:lncRNA from 10 species
GGGGCAGCUGCGUCCCGGGGGCAGGAGAGACCAGUUACUCUGAGUCCCUCUGUCGCCUCUGCAGGGGUGACAGCUCUGGGGAAGGGGUGUGUGACAAGAGCCCCCUGGAGAGAUACUACGACUACAGCGGGGCCUUCCGGUGCCUGGCGGAAGGGGCAGGGGACGUGGCUUUUGUGAAGCACAGCACGGUACUGGAGAACACGGAUGGUGAGUGGGGGAGGGGCACGGGCCCAGAGGAGCAGGGAGUCAGGCCAGGCCGGCUUGGGGCAGGGACCCUAGAUGGCAGAGUUGGGAUCAAACGCCCUAGUGCAGUGCUG